AUGGCCGGUGCAAAAGGAGUGCAGCAGCACACCAUCUUGGGUGGUUCCCAAUCGCGGCCAUCACAGGACGGCUCCCAGUCGCCGGCUCCGGAGGAGCAGCGAGGGCGCAGCCGGUCCAGGCGCGGCCAUCGCGGUGAGGUCGUGGUUAGGGAGAUCGUGCGCGCGACCGCAGUCAGCGGUAGCGUACCCAUCACCUUCCCGAUGCUCACACGCUCGAACUACAACGAGUGGGCGUUGAUCAUGGAGUGCAACCUCCAUGCGGCGAGCCUCUGGGCUCCCAUGGAGGACGACCUGGUCGAGAGAAAGGAGGACAGGAAAGCCGUGGCGGCCCUCAUGCGCGCCACGCCGCCGGAGAUGCACGGCAUGCUCGCGGCGAAGGCAAGCGCCAAGGAGGCGUGGGGAGCCAUCCGUACCCAGCGCCUCGGCAGCAAUCGCGUGCGCGAGGCGAACGCGCAAAAGCUGCGGGCGGACUUCGAGAACAUCGCCUUCAAGGAGGGCGAGCUCGUCGACGACUUCGCCAUGCGGAUCUCCAGCGUUGCGUCACAACUCCGAGCGCUUGGUGACACCAUGGACGAUGUGAGAGUCGUGCGGAAAUUUCUCCGCGUUGUGCCACCUCGCUUCGCUCAGGUAGCGGUCUCCAUCGAGACCUUGCUUGACCUGAGUGAGCUCUCCAUCAAGGAGCUCACGGGCCGGUUGCGGGUGGUCGAGGACCGCCUUGACGACGUCCGCGAGAGCUUUGGCGGCGGACAACUCCUAUUCUCAAAGAAGUGGGAGGUGAGGAAGCAUCAAGGACGUGGUGGCGGUGCCCAGAGCAGCGGAGGCGGCACCGGCAGAGGCGGCGGUUGCACCCAGGGCGGAGCCGGACGAGGUGCCGGCAACGACGACCGGGACAAGUGUCAAUAUUGCAACAUCAAGGGCCACUGGGCCUGUGAGUGCCGCAAGAGGAUGGCUGACGAGGAUGCCGCGGCCGCGGCGAACCUCGUCGAGGCUGAAGAGGACGGUGGGCCAGCAAUGAUGAUGGCUUGCGUCGAGACCAUGCAGGAGGGCGCAGCGCCUCCGGCGGCCAUGGUCCCGACAAGCAUCGAAGCCAUGCAGGAGGGCGCAACACCUCCGGCGACCAUGGUGCCGGCAACCGUUAAGUCCGUGCGGGAGGCAUGGAGCUCUUCAAGUAAUCCCCUCCCGACAUCGUAG
rnacentral:rRNA from 1 species